rnacentral:rRNA from 1 species
CCUACGGGUGGCAGCAGUGAGGAAUAUUGGUCAAUGGCCGUAAGGCUGAACCAGCCAAGUAGCGUGAGGGAAGACUGCCCUAUGGGUUGUAAACCUCUUUUAUGCGGGGAUAAAGGUGUCCACGUGUGGAUGUUUGCAGGUACCGCAUGAAUAAGGACCGGCUAAUUCCGUGCCAGCAGCCGCGGUAAUACGGAAGGUCCGGGCGUUAUCCGGAUUUAUUGGGUUUAAAGGGAGCGUAGGCCGGUCUUUAAGCGUGCCGUGAAAUUUUGUGGCUCAACCAUGAGAUUGCGGGGGAAACUGGAGGCCUCGAGGGGGCGAGAGGCAGGCGGAAUUCGGGGUGGAGCGGUGAAAUGCUUAGAUAUCACGCAGAACCCCGAUUGCGAAGGCAGCCUGCCGCAGCGUUACUGACGCUGAGGCUCGAAAGCGCGGGUAUCGAACAGGAUUAGAGACCCCGGUAGUC